rnacentral:rRNA from 1 species
UACGUAGGGUGCGAGCGUUGUCCGGAAUUAUUGGGCGUAAAGAGCUCGUAGGCGGUUUGUCGCGUCUGCCGUGAAAGUCCGGGGCUCAACUCCGGAUCUGCGGUGGGUACGGGCAGACUAGAGUGAUGUAGGGGAGACUGGAAUUCCUGGUGUAGCGGUGAAAUGCGCAGAUAUCAGGAGGAACACCGAUGGCGAAGGCAGGUCUCUGGGCAUUAACUGACGCUGAGGAACGAAAGCAUGGGGAGCGAACAGG